CCCCCUCGUGGGGAAGGUAGAAGGUGGGGUCUGCCGGACGCGUGUUCCUGCCACCAGGUGCCCGCUCCCCGCGAGGCCGGCUCAGGAGCAGGUAGGUGGGCGGGGGCUCGCGUCUCUGUUUCCGGCGGGUCCUCGCCCUUGUCCACGCAGCAGGGCUGUAGUCCGGGGAGGGCAGUAUUCCUGGCUAGGCUGGGGCGCAUAGGCGGUGCGAGUCGAGGAGAGACGCGGUGCCCGCGCUCAGCCGUGCCCUAGCAGCGGGAACAGUUCUGCAGUGAGCGAUCGGUGCUCUGGGGUAUUGUUUCCGCUGCCAGGGUAAGUCUGGGACUGCCGUUCGGGCCUACCCAGCAGGUAAGUCUUAGGCCAUCGCCUGCGGUGUCGGCCCCGGGAGCAGCGAGACCCAAGAUUGCAUCAAACGUUUGCCCCGUCUCUGCAUAUGUGACUGGACGUGAAUGAUGCUUCAUUUUGGCACCCCCUUUCCCUGCUCAGGUAGAAUGUAAACAAUUGAAAAAAAUCCCUUCCCAAUCAGAAUACCACCCACAGGACAACGAAGAAAACCUAUCUUCAGUCCCCACCCACGAAAUGCUGGGGGGUGGGGAGGACUGGAAAAGGAGUAAGGGGAGAGGAAGGGUGAGCAGCUGCAAGAAGUCUUUACACCUCUCUGCGGUUCCUGGUAAACGCGCUCAUGUCCUGGGGGCGGGACCUGAGCUGUCGAUUUCAGGAGCCCUUCGUGACUUCAAAAGUCCUGGGCACUGUUGCUCAUGAGUGCUGCACAACUGUCGCCCUCUAAAGCCACCUCCAUCCCUCACUGGGCUGGCCUCCUGAGCCUUCGAAGGAAGCCCGGUGCCAGCCAGCCUUCCUGAAAGACCAAGCCCGCGCCAUCCGGCUUCCUCCAGUGGACGCCUGCAGGACCCAGGUGAGACACGGAACCGGUUGGGGACGCGAGCCAGGGAUCCUGACCGGUUGGGGGCGGCGAGCAAGGGAUCCUGACUUGGGGGCGUUGCCUCCCGGAAUCCAAGCGGCCUUUUGCCCGGGUCUCCCGAGAUGCAUCGAAAUUGAGCUCGUCCACACAGCCCCCUGACUGCGUGAUGCCCUUUUCUGACUUAAAACAUUCCUUGUACCUUUAUUUACACGAUCCAAGUUGCAGUGUGCCUAGAUUUUCCUCCAAGGACAAAAAUGUGAAUAAAGCAAUAUUUUAGCCAAACAUUUCUGUGUCAAUUAAGAAGAUUGCAAUUCGUUCCAGACUAUAAAUUCUCUUUAACAACUCCCUAAGGUAUUCUUUUAAAUUGUUUUUCAGCGUUGCUAAAUGUGCAUCAUAAUGUGUGGGAGACUUGUAUAAAGUGAAUCAAUUUAUACUCAGCUGAUUAAUUGACCCGAUGUUACCACCUCCAAGGAGGCACCUUUCCACUAUUUUCUCAUUUUUUCCCCAACACAUGUUAUUUGUUAGUGAGGAAGCUGCGUGCACGUGGCAUUGUAUAAAGUUUAUUAGACAGACGUGGCCCUUAAACUAGGAAGAGCUUAGUCUAACUCUAAAUCUAAAAUUCGACAUUUCGGUAAGUUGUGAGACAAGAUACCCAGGUUGUUUGAUAAACCAGAAUUGAACAUAAUUUUUUAAAAAUUUAAAUCACAGGAAUGUUUUUCUUGAAGGCAUCCAGCAUCUCCAGUUAGCAGUACUGAUUUUUUUUCCCCCCAACAAAGGAACACUACAUCAACACUGUUGGCGGGGACCUGGACACAGAAGACUCCUGUUUCAAGAAAAUACAAUCAUCUCUCAAAGGCUGUAAUUUAUAUGCAUUUUAAAACUCUAGGCAUUGAAAACCACCCAAGUGUCCCAAAUAGAAGGGUAAUAUAUAAUCAAUCACUCAGUGUAAUAUUAUACAUCCUUUAAAAAUGUUAUUGGGAAAUGUUUUAUGAUCUGUAAGUCCAAGGAAUCCUCUCCCACCAUUUCUUUCCCCCCGCUGUUCCCCCAUACCCACACUUCUUUGUUCCAAUUGGCAUGUAAAUUUGGUUUUCCCGCCAAAUGAGUCAGUCAUGAUGGGAACCUCAACUGAUUUGAACAGAUGUGUGUCAAUGUUACUUGGAAAACUAGAUGUCAAUAACCAGGGUCACAGAAAAAGGCAGUGGUCACAACUCUGUAAAAAUGUAUGCAUGCACACAGACAAGAACUAAAGUGGAACCCCACACAGGAAAACAGUGGGCUGUACUCCAGUGCUGGGACAUUGAAUGACUGUAUGCUGCUUUUGAUUUCCGUUAAUAUGGGCAACUGUCCAAUUAAAAAAAAAACUCCUAAGGACUCUGCAGUGCAAAUUGUUUUGCUGAUUGUUUUAAAACACCAUACCUAUCAACUCAUCAAGGCAAAUGGGGCAGCGGGGGACUGGGUUCGUUCCCUGAAUCCUGGACUGCUAUAGAGCUCAGGGCAACAUUUGCAGAAAACCUGAGCCUAUGAGAUGGGAGUUAUAGGCAGCUUUCCUGAGGCUGUGUAAGAUGAAAAUAAAACUAGGUUCAAAAAAUAUGUUUGGGGAAGAUCAAUGAGUUUAUCGAUAGAAGUUAAAAGACUUGAGUCUGGCUAUAUGCAAGUUGGCAUAUGUUUUUAGAGAUCUUUUUUCCCAUUGGCCUGCAGUAUGACUUAAUCUCAUAACCCUAGAAUUUUAUAUAUGCAUUUGUAUUUAGAGUUAUUACAUGACUCUUAAGCAAAAAAGAGUAUAUAUACAUCAAGUGUAGCAAACGUGUAUCUCCCUGCCCCCCUACAUCCCACUCAGGCCCACCCAUUAGUUACUCCUCAGUGAAUAAACAAGGAUCGGCUAGCUCUUUCAUAAUAUUUCACCUAUCUGCCACCUUUUCCCUCCUCCCCAGCUCCACAGCUGAUCUCUUUGGCAAGUUCAGCCAGGCUUAAAACCCCUGUGGGGAUAGUAAAUUGAGCCAAGAGGGAGGAGCCCCGAAAGACUUCCACUUCCUGUGGUUGCUUGGGCCUUUGAGCACUCCCCCUUCCACUACUGAGCUCUAUAAUCUGAGCAGUUGGUGGGUGUUUGGAAACAUGGCCUUGGCUCCACUGCUGGAGUCAGGGAGCUCAGAACACUGCAGCAACCUGCCAGUGAGAGUCUGGGUUGCUUUGAAGCCUGAGUCUCCCAAGGCAGCUCCCUCACCUGUUCCCCCAUGUCCACCCCCACCUGCCAUCCAGACAAGACUAUUACCCUAAGACCAGACCUUCUAAAGGCGUGGCCACAGAAUCAUCAGUAUCCCAACAUCUUGCCUUUGUAUCGUGUGUUUACAUACUUUUCCAAAUACUUUGUUUUUUCUUUUUUUUCUUUUUUUAAUUUGUGACAACCUUGAAAGACAAACAGAGUUAAGGCAGUCCAAAAAAUAAUUACAGACAAGAAAACUGGGGCCUCUGGAGGUUAAGGAUUUGUCUGAGGCUACUCUCUGGGGGCUCUUCCUCCAGGCCUCAUACUGUGUUCCUUAUGUCAUUACCUGUUCAUCAGAACCGACUAUGCAGUAGUGACCAGAGCAGGAAAUGGAGGUGAAUGUGUUUGGUUACAAAAAUUCCCGGUGAAACUGGCUAGUCUUAUGAUGAGCUUUGGCCUAUACAUUGGACACUUCCUGGGUGAGGCCCAAGAUUGGCCCCAGGAUUACUAAAUAGUGACUAUAAGUUACCCAGCCGUGUACAAGUCAAUCUGCACAAACCAAAAAAGCAUGAUUUAAAUUCAUUUUAAACCUCUGUCCCAUGUUUGUUAUUUUCUGUAGAUUCAAUCAAAUUAUCUUAAGGAAACAAAUGAAGUGUCAAGCUAUAGGGGUUGACUUAAUCUAGUCACUCACUCAAUGGAACCUUUUUCAGCCAUUGCAAAUAAUAAUGAUAGAGAAUAUACAGAAACCUGGAAAAUGCUUAUGAUAUCAACUUAAAAAAAAUCAGGGCCACAAAAUCACAUGGACACCAUGAUUGAAAAAUAGGAGCAGAACCUGGAGGAAACCUGCAAAACAGACAUACUUGUUACUUAAGGGUGGUGGGAUUAGAGCUGAAGUUUCUUCUUUCUCUACUUUUUCAUGGUUUUGUGUGUGUGUGUGUGUGUGUGUGUGUGUGUGUGUGUGUGUGUGUGUGAGAUGCCACGUUUUCUUGUUAUGUUGUCAAAAUAUAAUUCUCUAAAAAGUCUUUAGGGGUCAUGGGUGAUACAGAAAUUUGGGAUCGGUCAAGGAUGCACAGAUCUCAGACAUCUCGGGGAUCAUCAUGUCACGAGAUACCAGUGUGCACUUGUGACAGAUUGAUAACUGAAAGGUCUGGGAGCCACUCAUCUUCAUAGCAAAACAUGUGGUAAGUAUUACAAGACGAAUCAAUGAAAAGAUCAGGAGGAAAGUGGGCCCUAAGCAAAGAAGAAAGGGGUUGCUAUGGGAUGGGGUGGGAGGAUGAGUUGUGUUUUCAUAGGAGUGUAAUGGGAAUGCCUUUAUUUGUGUCUUUAUUGCUUUAAAUGUUUGUUGAAUGAAUUGAAACUUACAUAAGGUAUAUGAUUUUAUACUUGUGCUAGAAUGCUAAAAUAAAGAAUUUAUGCUCAAGCAAACAACUGGAAAACACUUUGCUAUAAGCAUUACAGACACAGGGUCAUUUUUAGUAUGUUGAGUCCACACAAGUGGUCAAGAAAAACCAUAAAAACUACAUGAACAGAAAGCCCCAGUUAAAAAAAAUGCAUAAAGAUGCUCAUUUCAAUAUUUUAAGGAUGGAAGUUAGGAACAUCCUGAAUGACCAACAACAAAGGAUUAGACAAAUAAAAUACAGCGUAGCUAGCUAGUACAAUAGAAUAGGAUGCUUUCAUGUAAAAUAAUGUUUCUGAAAGUAAUUUUCAUGUCAUGAGAAUGUGCUCCUGAUAAAACAUUUAGCGAUUGAAAAAAGGUGCAAAAUAUUUUCCCAUCUCUGCAAUAUAGGUAUAUAGGGAGCAUUCUGUAUGAAUAGUUUUGUAUCAACAUACAGAUAAAAGGCUAGGAGGAAACAUAUAAAAACUUUAUUGUGAUUAUCUCUGAGUUGUGGUAUAAAGGUGACCAAAGAAAGAUGCUAAACUAUUUUUGCGAUGUGUUCCUAAUAUGUAAUAUAAAUGUAUUGGGGACAUUUUGCAUUCAUAGUUUUGUAUCAAUAAUAUGGGGAAAAGAGGCUAUCAGGAAGUAUACCAAAAGUCUAGAGGUGGUUAUCGCUGACUUGUGUCACUAUAGGCAAUCAAAAACGAUACUAAACUGUUUUUGCGAUGUGUUCCUAAUAUGCACUAUAAAUAUAUUGGGAACAUUUUGCAUGUAUAGUUUUGUAUCAAUAUACAGAUGAAAAGAUGGAGGGAAUAAGCAAAAAAUCUAACAGCGGCUAUCUGUGGUUUACUUCUGUGAUAAAUGUAAGAUGCAGAAUUAUUUUUGCAAUAUGUUCCUGAAUAUGUAAUAUAAGUGUAUUGGGAUCAUUUUGCAUCCAUAGUUUUGUAUCAACAUAUGGAGAAAAGUCUAGGAAGAAAUAUACCAAAACUUGUAACAGUAUUAUAGUAUAAAAUUAUAGGUAAUGUUUGUUUUUCUCUUUAUACUUUUAUGUAUUUUCCAAGUAAUAUUUGCAUAAACAAUAAAAUGCAUUGCUUUUAUAGCAAUAAUAAAACAUUUUAUUUUUA
rnacentral:lncRNA from 1 species